CCGGUUCGCUGUUGUUGAAACUUUUUUCAGCGCGCGGAGGGGGCGGGGCGGUGCGCGGCCCGGAGGGCGGCUCCGCCCACUCUUAAGGGCGCGCUGCCGGCCCAGCGCAGCGCCGCCGCAGCUGUUCAGUCCGGCAUCCGCUGGCCUCUCUGUUCCGCUCUUUUUACUCUGUGUUUUUUAGGCGACGGAGUGUUAUUCGUUCUCCUGGAUCUCCCCAGUCCGUUACUUCGACGGGAGCCAGAAGUCUGUUCAUUUUCCGGGUUUGAUCAUCACUGCAGGCUAGCGAGCGCCGGGGGAAGGGAAGAACUUGGCACACGGGAGCCGUGAGGAGCAGCAGCACACGUUCCAGCCUCAGAGCGGUCCAGCGAAGAAUGCUACAAGGGAAAAACACCUGCAUGGAGGGUCAUUUCAUCCGAUGGGCCAAAUCAUUUUUUUCCCUGUUCUCCUGGUAACAGAUGGAGAAGGUUGGAAGAACAGGCUGGCCUUGGCAUCAGCAUGUUGAAGCGAGCACACAACCCAGCUCUGAUAUCGUCGUGGUGAAGUCAGCCCUGGCAUGGCACCCACUUACCAGUUGCCUCAGUGUUGUGAUCUAGCCACAGUCCAGGCAUCAAAGCCUGUAAGAACUGCUAAAAGAACCUGUGAAGAAUAGGACUUAAAAUGGAGAAUUCCCAAACAGUUCUUGGAAUGACUACUGAACAAACAGAACAACUAAAAACCAUGGCUCAGAAUCAAUGUUCUUAUCCUUUAAAAGAAUCCAAAUCUUCAUUUGUGAGAUUUGUUGAACAGUGUAAUACUAAAGUCAUUUGGUUGGUUUGGAUUUAUCUUAGUAGUCUGAGCUCCCAAGUUAUUGUCAGUUCAGCUCUUGGAUAAAAUCCAAACAUCUUUGGUUUUAGUUACAUCACUUAUCUUUGAGAAUAUAAUUAAAAAUAAAUUAAUCCAUGAAUUUA